GAUGAACGCUGGCGGCGUGCCUAAUACAUGCAAGUCGAGCGAACAGAUGAGGAGCUUGCUCCUCUGACGUUAGCGGCGGACGGGUGAGUAACACGUGGAUAACCUACCUAUAAGACUGGGAUAACUUCGGGAAACCGGUGCUAAUACCGGAUAAUAUAUUGAACCGCAUGGUUCAAUAGUGAAAGACGGUUUUGCUGUCACUUAUAGAUGGAUCCGCGCCGCAUUAGCUAGUUGGUAAGGUAACGGCUUACCAAGGCAACGAUGCGUAGCCGACCUGAGAGGAUGAUCGGCCACACUGGAACUGAGACACGGUCCAGACUCCUACGGGAGGCAGCAGUAGGGAAUCUUCCGCAAUGGGCGAAAGCCUGACGGAGCAACGCCGCGUGAGUGAUGAAGGUCUUCGGAUCGUAAAACUCUGUUAUUAGGGAAGAACAAAUGUGGAAGUAACUAUGCACGUCUUGACGGUACCUAAUCAGAAAGCCACGGCUAACUACGUG
rnacentral:rRNA from 1 species